UGUGGUGACUAUAUGCUAAUCGUGGACUAAUGUUUGGAAUGAUAAUUCACAGCAAUAUCAGUUCAUCUGUAGUGUCCCCUAAUUGGACAAUUAGUUUGAUAUACACUAUAACAAGGAUCAUCAACUAGAUUCAGCUGUGUGAAGAUUUGUUCUUGAGCGGAUGGACAGGUUACACUAUACACUAUACACUAUACACUAUACACUACACACUACACACUACACACUAUACACUAUACACUAUACACUACACACUAUACACUAUACACUAUACACUAUACACUAUACACUAUACACUACACACUACACACUAUACACUAUACACUAUACACUAUACACUAUACACUACAUACACUACACACUACACACUACACACUACACACUACACACUAUACACUAUACACUAUACACUAUACACUACACACUACACACUACACACUAUACACUAUACACUACACACUAUACACUACAACACUACACACUACACACUAUACACUACACAUACACACUACACCAAUACACCACUACACACUAUACACUAUACACUAUGCACUACACACUACACACUACACACUACACACUAUACACUAUACACUAUACACUACACAUUACACACUAUACACUACACACUAUACACUAUACACUACACAUUACACACUACACACUAUACACUAUACACUACACAUUACACACUACACACUAUACACUAUACACUAUACACUACACACUACACACUACACACUACACACUAUACACUAUACACUACACACUACACACUACACACUAUACACUAUACACAAUACACUACACACUAUACACUACACACUACACACUACACACUAUACACUAUACACUAUACACUACACACUAUACACUACACACUACACACUACACACUACACACUACACACUAUACACUACACACUACACCAAUACACACUACACCACUAUACACUAUGCACUACACACUACACACUAUACACUAUACACUACACAUUACACACUACACACUAUACACUAUACACUAUACACUACACACUACACCAAUACACACUACACACUACACACUAUACACUACACACUACACACUACACACUACACACUACACACUAUACACUACACACUACACACUACACCAAUACACACUACACACUAUACACUAUGCCACUAUGCACUACACACUACACACUAUACACUAUACACUACACAUUACACACUACACACUAUACACUAUACACUAUACACUACACACUACACCAAUACACACUACACACUAUACACUACACACUAUAUACUACACACUACACAUUACACACUAUACACUAUACACUAUACACUAUACACUAUACACUACACACUACACCAAUACACACUACACACUAUACACUACACACUAUAUACUACACACUACACAUUACACACUAUACACUACACACUACACACUACACACUACAUCAAUACACACUACACACUACACCCAAUACACACUACACACUAUACACUACACACUAUACACUACACACUACACACUAUACACUACACACUACACACUACACACUAUACACUACACACUAUACACUAUACACUACACACUAUACACUACACAUUACACACUACACACUACACAUUACACACUAUACACUACACACUACACACUAUACACUAUACACUAUACACUACACACUACACACUACACACUAUACACUAUACACUAUACACUACACAUUACACACUAUACACUACACACUACACACUACACACUACACACUAUACACUAUACACAAUACACUACACACUAUACACUACACACUACACACUACACACUACACACUACACACUAUACACUACACACUACACACUACACCAAUACACACUACACACUAUACACUAUGCACUACACACUACACACUAUACACUAUACACUACACAUCACACACUACACACUAUACACUAUACACUAUACACUACACACUACACCAAUACACACUACACACUAUACACUACACACUAUAUACUACACACUACACAUUACACCACUAUACACUAUACACUAUACACUAUACACUAUACACUAUACACUAUACACUACACACUACACCAAUACACACUACACACUAUACACUACACAUUACACACUAUACACUACACACUACACACUAUACACUACACAUUACACACUAUACACUACACACUAUACACUACACACUACACACUACAUCAAUACACACUACACACUACACCAAUACACACUACACACUAUACACUACACACUAUACACUACACACUACACAUUACACACUAUACACUACACACUAUACACUACACACUACACACUACACACUAUACACUACACACUAUACACUACACACUAUACACUACACAUUACACACUACACACUACACAUUAUACAUUACACACUAUACACUACACACUACACACUACACACUACACACUACACACUAUACACUACACACUAUACACUAUACACUACACAUUACACACUACACACUACACAUUACACACUAUACACUAUACACUAUACACUACACACUAUACACUAUACACUAUACACUAUACACUAUACACUACACAUUACACACUAUACACUACACACUAUACACUACACACUAUACACUACACACUAUACACUACACAUUACACACUACACACUACACAUUACACACUAUACAUUACACACUAUACACUACACACUAUACACUACACACUACACACUACACACUAUACACUACACACUAUACACUAUACACUACACAUUACACACUACACACUACACAUUACACACUAUACACUAUACACUAUACACUACACACUACACACUAUACACUACACACUAUACACUAUACACUACACAUUACACACUAUACACUAUACACUACACAUUACACACUACACACUAUACACUACACAUUACACACUAUACACUAUACACUACACACUACACCAAUACACACUACACACUAUACACUACACACUAUAUACUACACACUACACAUUACACACUAUACACUACACACUAUACACUACACAUUACACACUAUACACUACACACUAUACACUACACACUACACACUACAUCAAUACACACUACACACUACACCAAUACACACUACACACUAUACACUACACACUACACAUUACACACUAUACACUACACACUAUACACUACACACUACACACUACACACUAUACACUACACACUAUACACUAUACACUACACCACUAUACACUACACAUUACACACUACACACUACACAUUACACACUAUACACUACACACUACACAUUACACACUAUACACUACACACUAUACACUACACACUACACACUAUACACUACACACUAUACACUAUACACUACACACUAUACACUACACAUUACACACUACACACUAUACACUACACACUAUACACUACACAUUACACACUACACACUAUACACUACACAUUACACACUACCCACUACACAUUACACACUAUACACUACACACCAUACACUACACAUUACACACUACACACUACACACUAUACACUACACACUACACACUACACACUAUACACUAUACACUAUACACUACACACUACACACUACACACCUUACACUACACACUAUACACUAUACACUACACACUACACACUACACACUACACACUCAGUGGUGACCCAUCAUUCGUUAUAUCUACCGUAGCUUUUAUUGAACUGAUCAUGUCAGCAUCAUACUUUCAAAGACAAGCAGUCAUCAUCAUGAAUCACGUCCACAGUCUACUGGCAAAUCCUCUUCAAUCCUUGUCAAAUGAAGAUUAAUUCUAAAUGCAAUGUAUCGGUGCUCAUCGGCCAUUGGACAUAAACAUUACACAAGAAGAUGGAAAUCGCAAAUUCAACAAUGAGGUGGUUUGGAAGGAAUCAGUGGCUAACUGCAAGCAUUGCAAAGCAAUCACUAGCCUGCUAUUCAGUGGAGUGGGUGUGUGGUCCAAGUCUGGGUUUAAGAGUCUCUUUUCCAAGCUUAAAAGGAUAAACAGUCACAUGCAAACCCGUGGGCCUGAACACUGUAAGAACGGCCCAUAUUCUAAAUUAUGUCGCUGUACAUUUCAAAAGUGCUGAACAAA
rnacentral:lncRNA from 1 species